UGCCAGCCGCCGCGGUAAUACGGAGGGUGCAAGCGUUGUUCGGAAUUAUUGGGCGUAAAGCGCGUGUAGGCGGUUCGUUAAGUCUGAUGUGAAAGCCCGGGGCUCAACCCCGGAAGUGCAUUGGAAACUGGCGAACUUGAGUACGGGAGAGGAAAGUGGAAUUCCGAGUGUAGGGGUGAAAUCCGUAGAUAUAUUGAGGAACACCAGUGGCGAAGGCGGCUAACUGGACCGGAACUGACGCUGAUGCACGAAAGCGUGGGUAGCAAACAGGAUUAGAUA
rnacentral:rRNA from 1 species